rnacentral:rRNA from 1 species
AACGAACGCUGGCGGCGUGGAUAAGACAUGCAAGUCGAACGGGAUUGCUUUCGGUAGCAAUACUGAGAGGAAUUUAGUGGCGAACGGGUGCGUAACACGUGGGGAAUCUGCCGAGAAGUGGGGGGAUAGCUCGUCGAAAGGCGAAUUAAUACCGCAUAUGAUCAGCCAAGACAUCUUGGCGACAUCAAAGCCGGGGCAACCUGGCGCUUCUUGAUGACCCCCGCGGCCUAUCAGCUAGUUGGUGAGGUAACGGCCCACCAAGGCUAUGACGGGUAGCUGGUCUGAGAGGACGACCAGUCACACUGGAACUGAGACACGGUCCAGACACCUACGGGUGGCAGCAGUCGAGAAUUUUUCNCAAUGGGCAAAGCCUGAAGGAGCGACGCCGCGCGGAGGAUGAAGG